rnacentral:rRNA from 1 species
AUGAAGUCGGAAUUGCUAGUAAUCGCGGAUCAGCAUGCCGCGGUGAAUACGUUCCCGGGCCUUGUACACACCGCCCGUCACACCAUGAGAGCCGGUAAUACCCGAAGUCAGUAGUCCAACCUCGUGAGGACGCUGCCGAAGGUAGGAUUGGCGACUGGGGUGAAGUCGUAACAAGGUACC